AGUCCUCUGAGUUCAUCCUGCAGCCUCACAGAUCAGUUUGCCAGUUGACCAGUCCUCUCUAGUUGACUAGCUCUCCACCACAGCAUCUCAUCCUUUGAUCAGUUUUUAUUAUCUUUCAUAUUCCAGCAGCACACAGUGCAACCAGACCUAUGUCAGCAUACUUUCCCUUUUCAAAGAAUCUUCAUGCGGUAGACAUUUCAAGGUUGGAGAAAUUUUACAGUACAUGAAAUAGUUGAAGUUUGACAGCAAUUUUGGGAUUACAGCAAUUUUGGGAUUACAGCAAUUUUGGCUGUAUGUGGGAUGAAAUAAACUCCAAUAAGGUGGGAAGAUUACCUGGGACGAGGCGGUCGAGGCUAUGAUGAGCUCUGAUCAUGACACUGCACUUCAGCCUGGACAAUGGGGCAAGAACCUGUUUAAAAAAUAAAAUAAAAUACUCC
rnacentral:lncRNA from 1 species